UGGCCACUUGCAAUUUUGAAGUCACUUCCGAAUCUCUUUUGUUUGAAGUUGGAUAAUAAUCCCCUAAGAUAGAUUCCAUCCGGUGGAUUCCAAGCAAUUUGUAUGCUCCAGAUAUUAGACAUAAGUGGUAAUGCAGGUUCAUUACCCGAGAAUCCUACAUUUUCCAGCUUACCACAAUUGAAGGAGCUUUAUUUGAGAUGGAUACAGCUACGAGAAGUCCCAGCAGAGAUAAUGAGUUUAC